CAUUGAAGCCGACCGCCAUUUACCAAGCGGGUAAUGAUUACAACAUCAUCACAGAGUAUGAUGCGCAUAUAUAAGUAUAUGAAUAAAUGUUAACAUUGCCCUCUUUACAAAUGGUGACAGACUUCAACAUCGACCACAACCCCGGCUAUUGAACUUAAUCAAGUUACCAUAAUAUUAUAACCUAAUCUAUGUAGUAUAAAGUCUGCUAUCUAGAAUUGUGUGAUAAGGCAACUUAUGUGAUAGCGUGAAACUGAUAAAGAAUGAGGUGGUAGACGCUAGUGUAGCCGUGUCUUAAACGAGAUCGCGCACCAAUCGGAGUGAACCACGCAUAUGUUUACUGCCACGUCAGUGUUCGGGCCCAGCACUGUUGCCCGAUCCGGCAUUACGAUUUUCGUCUAAAUAGUAAAGGUUCAACCAGACACCAGUAACCACGCAUCCAAAGUGUUAACUAUAGGACAUAUUAUUAUUAUUAAAAUAUGUCUAUGGCAUCUACUAUCGAUUAUCAUAGAGUUGCCGCAUGGUCAUAAUUUUAGGUUAAUUUAUAAAUUAAUAAAUUAAAUAAAUAAAUACAAUUAGUUUAUAAUUUUGUGUGCUUUAUAGUCUUACAAUUUACAAAUGGAAAAUGGUUCCAUUUGUGUCAACUGUAGGUCGCAGGAUGAUGUUUUGAGUGCAUUGAAAAUUAACCCCAAAUGGAGAGAAGUGGAUUAAAACACGUGAGUCUUGAAAACGUGCGAUCACUUUGCUAUUAUAUAUUCUAAUAUUAUAUAGUAUAUAUAAACACCAAAAAAUGGUUCAAGGUAUAUCAUUAUAAUAUGAGACACAGUAUAAAAUGCAGGUUCUACAACACAGAUGGAAGCAGUGUUGUAAAUCAAUGGAUAACGUUGUUUUUGAAGUGUUAAUUGUCUUAGUGUACUAGGCCGCUUACCUUCACACAACUUCUUAGUGUCGACUACUGUAUACGACACAACUGGAACGCUGAAAGCAAGAUGAAAUUUAUGUCUGACGUCGGUACUUUGACACUCUGCAAACAAUCGUUAAUGAAGCGCAGGAAAGCGAUCGACACACGUUGACGAAGCGCUGACAGAUCUCUGACGACACAGACCUAGAACCGAGAGAAAAUUAUUGAAAACAUGCAAAUACAACUGUGUAAAGGUCCCCCCCCCCCCCCCCACACACACACUGCAGCACUAGGCGUUAAAUUCUAUCGUCUUGGUUUUACCGCCGCGGUGAGCGGUGAAAUGUGUCCUGCGUCGAUUCACCGCCACCGCUGCAGUGCGUGAGGACCCUUGUGAAAAACAUUUAAUGCCACCCGAACAACAACAACAACGGUAAUUUCAAUGAUGUCGCGUCGCACGUACAGAAACCACGGUAGUCACCGAACUCGCGUUAUGACGUGGGUCUCGUUAACCGUUCGGUACGAAAUAUCGUAUUCUACUAUAAUAGCGAGCAAUCCCUUCUUUCGGAUACGACGUUUUCGCCGACGGACGAAAUGCGCGCGUUUCGGCACGUACAAUAUUCCCGUCGUAUUAGUAUUUCGGCGUACCUAACCCUAUAUUACGUGGUUUGGAAGAAAUACACGCGUAGGUACGCGGUGGACCCGACGGAUAAAAAUGGCGUUUCGCGUCGUGUACGCGGUCUCGGACGUAAAAUUUCGGACGGUUUGUGACGCGCAGACGUCUAUUUGGCUAGUUUCGAUCGCGUUCGGGGAAAAAAAAAAAAAAUCGUACGGCGGCGCGCACGCGGUCCCGGGGCGGCGGUACCUCGAACGGCUCGGCGGCCAUAUUUCGUUGGAGACCGCUGCUUCGCAUUUCGAUGUUCGCGAAAAAAGAAACGUCGUGCGAUCGCGUUGCGCCGUUACCGACGUGUCGUCGGGUGUCGUUGGUUACACUUACGUUGUUACGAAAAAAAUUGCGAUCCGAAGACUCGUUUACUCGGUGCAAGCGACGGGAAAAAAUUCCGUUCGUAGACGACGAGAACGCGUCGUAGUAGAAAAACGAAAAUGGCGUCUGUAAACAACUGUGUCGACGAAUCCAAUGCCGUGUGGCGGGUUCAUUGUCUGACAGUCUGGCACUCUGACACGGAGAUUUUCGGUGAUAGAUAAGGAACGAGUACGAUUAUUAUUAUUAUUAUUAUUAUUAUUAUUAUUGUUGUUGUUGUUUGUGAGCGGAACGUAACGGCGGUGUCUAUGGAGGCAUAAUAUAAUAUUAUAAUAAUAUGUGAAA